rnacentral:rRNA from 1 species
CGAAACCAGGUGAUCUACCCAUGUCCAGGAUGAAGGUAAGGUAAUACUUACUGGAGGUCCGAACCCACGCACGUUGAAAAGUGCGGGGAUGAGGUGUGGGUAGCGGAGAAAUUCCAAUCGAACUUGGAGAUAGCUGGUUCUCUCCGAAAUAGCUUUAGGGCUAGCCUCGAGGUAAAGAGUCAUGGAGGUAGAGCACUGUUUGGACUAGGGGCCCUUCUCGGGUUACCGAAUUCAGAUAAACUCCGAAUGCCAUGUACUUAUACUCGGGAGUCAGACUGCGAGUGAUAAGAUCCGUAGUCGAAAGGGAAACAGCCCAGACCACCAGUUAAGGUCCCCAAAUAUAUGUUAAGUGGAAAAGGAUGUGGGGUUGCUUAGACAACCAGGAUGUUGGCUUAGAAGCAGCCACCAUUGAAAGAGUGCGUAAUAGCUCACUGGUCGAGUGACCCCGCGCCGAAAAUGUACCGGGGCUAAACAUAUUACCGAAACUGUGGAUGAACCUCUUUAGAGGUUCGUGGUAGGAGAGCGUUCUAAGGGCGGUGAAGUCAGACCGGAAGGACUGGUGGAGCGCUUAGAAGUGAGAAUGCCGGUAUGAGUAGCGAAAGAAGGGUGAGAAUCCCUUCCACCGAAUAUCUAAGGUUUCCUGAGGAAGGCUCGUCCGCUCAGGGUUAGUCGGGACCUAAGCCGAGGCCGAUAGGCGUAGGCGAUGGACAACAGGUAGAGAUUCCUGUACCAGUGCUAAUUGUUUAACCGAUGGGGUGACACAGAAGGAUAGGGAAUCGCACGAAUGGAAAUGUGCGUCCAAGCAGUGAGUGUGAGAAGUAGGCAAAUCCGCUUCUCGCGAAGCAUGAGCUGUGAUGGGGAAGGAAAUUAAGUACGGAAGUUCCUGAUUUCACGCUGUCAAGAAAAGCCUCUAGGAAGAGUAGUACUGCCCGUACCGCAAACCGACACAGGUAGAUGAGGAGAGAAUCCUAAGGUGAGCGAGAGAACUCUCGUUAAGGAACUCGGCAAAAUGACCCCGUAACUUCGGGAGAAGGGGUGCUCUAUUAGGGUGCAAGCCCGAGAGAGCCGCAGUGAAUAGGCCCAGGCGACUGUUUAGCAAAAACACAGGUCUCUGCAAAACCGUAAGGUGACGUAUAGGGGCUGACGCCUGCCCGGUGCUGGAAGGUUAAGAGGAGUGCUUAGCUUCGGCGAAGGUACGAAUUGAAGCCCCAGUAAACGGCGGCCGUAACUAUAACGGUCCUAAGGUAGCGAAAUUCCUUGUCGGGUA